rnacentral:rRNA from 1 species
UACGUAGGGUGCGAGCGUUAAUCGGAAUUACUGGGCGUAAAGGGCGCGCAGGCGGCUUUGCAUGUCGGGCGUGAAAUCCCCGGGCUUAACCUGGGAAUUGCGUCCGAAACUAUGGAGCUGGAGUGUGGCAGAGGGAGGUGGAAUUCCACGUGUAGCGGUGAAAUGCGUAGAGAUGUGGAGGAACACCGAUGGCGAAGGCGACACGCUGGGCCGUACCUGACACUGAUGCGCGACAGCAUGGGGAGCAAACAGG